ensembl:lncRNA
GGCCGUAUAAGGUCAUUUUUAAUUUCUCAGUCAGGCUACAUAUUACAUAAUCAUUCAGAUGUGUGAAUGAUAACAGAAGGUACAUUCGUGGCAUCUGAGAUCCAAACAUUGAACAUGUUUUCAGCUUAAAAUAAGCUCUAAAUAAAAGUAUUUUAGAUUUUAGAUGCUUUUCUCUUGACUUUAUUUGCAUAUGUGACCUUGAAGUAAUCCAAAAAUAAUCAGAUUACAUUACUAUUGUGAUACUUGGAUUACAUUACUGAUGACAUUUUUUAUGAAGUAAUUUGUAACUGUCACAGAAUACAUUUUUAAAGUAACCUUCCCAACCCUGCAUAUGAGACCUCACAUGAUCCUGGUGGAACCCAGGAUGGUGUUUGUGGACAAGAAGUUGAAAGACUGGCAUCACGGAGUGAGCUUGAGAAAGAGGAAGUGAAAGGAGAUGGUCAUAAAGUAAACACAAUGUAUUGUAGUCAAUGAACACAAACAGUGGUAAAAGAAAAAAAUAUAUUGUUAUUAUAAUUAUUAUUGUUGUUACUAAAUGUAUUUUGGUAUUUAAUUUUGAGGUAUUGAGUUUUCAAUAUUUCCUAACCUUACAAUGUUUCAGAAGCUUUUGUUUGCCAUCACAUGCAUAGUUAUACACAGUAUACACAACAAUAAUCCUCAAACAAACCCAGGUUUUUUUCAGGUUUUGAUCUCUUACUCUCUACCUCACAUGGUUCCUCAACAGGUAUUUUUAGCUCAGGCCUUCAUAAAGCAGAAGGGUGAGAGUAUUACACAUGCACAACGUGCCUUUCCUGAACUGGUCUUAAAAGUUAUUUAAGAUAAAAAUAAUAAUAAAAACUUAAAUGUAUACCACAGGUCCAUUAUUUUUUUUAAUUUUUUUUUUUUUGGAACUCAUUUUUUUUAGUUAAGAUCCUAUUUCCCUAGUAUUGGAAUUAGAAUUUUUCUUUUCUUUUUUUUUUUUCAAAAGCAAGUUACCAAUACCAAAAUACAAAACGUAGAAACAAUGUGCAUUUUUGUUAUAUAAUUCAUUAACACUGACAGGGGACAUUGGACAUAGGAAUAGGAAUAAUGUUGAGUAAUAUGUAGCUCACAGUGUGUUUAAUAUAAUCAAACUAUAGUCUGCAUUACAUAGCCUACAAUAUAUGACAAAAUAUAAAAAUUCAACAAAAUAUUAUUUUGUAAUUGUCUAUAUCAUAUCAUUGCCACCUCACAGCUACAGGGUCCCCACUUCAAGCCUGAACCCAGAUUACUGUCUGUGGGGAGUUUCACAUGUUCUUGCUGUGUCUAUGUGGAUUUCCUAUACGCUUGUCCGGUUUCCUCCCACUUCCCAAAAAACAAGAUGGACUGGCUAUGCUUAACUGCGCUUCAUUGUGAAUGGGUUUGCAUGUGUGGUGCCUUGAAUUGGUCUGCUGUCCCAUCCAGGAUGUAUCCGUGCCUUGCAUGACCUUGCCCAGGAUGAGGUGGUUACUGAAAAUGAAUGAAUGAAUGAAUCCAUCCAUCCUCUAUACCGCUUAUUUUACAGGGUGGCGGGGAACCUGGAGCCUAUCCCAGGGAGCAUGGGGCACAAGGCAGGGUACACCCUGGACGGGGUGCCAAUCCAUCACAGGGCACACUCACAUACACAUUCAUACACUACGGACACUUUGGACAUGCCAAUCAGCCUACCAUGCAUGUCUAUGGACCAGAGGAGGAAACCGGAGUACCCGGAGGAAACCACCGCACCACAGGAAGGACAUGCAAACUCCAGAUGUAUUGAUAGUUUUACAUCAUUAUUGGUGAUUGUACCUGAUGUAUGCACAAAUGCUUGAGAAACACAUCAUUUAAAGGUUAAAUGAUUUAAUUAACAAUAAAUGAAUAAACCACAUUUCAUACUUUUUAUUUGUAGCAUCCUAAUAAAAAAAGGCCCAUCUCAAUUGACAUUUCUUUAAUACAAUUUCAAAAUGUGUUUAAAUACGAGUAUAAAUAUAUAAAUAUAUAUAAGUUGGUAUUUACAUAGCUAAAUACAUUACAGAUCACAGGCCAAUCCAAUAAAGUAUACCCCCAAAGACAAAGAGGUAGAUUUUCUCCCCCCCCAAAAAAAGCAGCAGAAUAAAGAUGUCAUACACAACACUCUUUCCUCAGUGUAUUAAAGCAGGGUUUGAAAACAAAACGGUCAUUAAUAACUUGGCAUCAUGGCCGCUGGUAUGAAUAUACAGCGCAAGAGUGCAUUUGCAAAGCCAUAGCUGAAUGAACGAAUAUACGGCUGGGAUAUGUGUAGGGCACGAGUGGGCGGCCGCAUAUCAAGAGACAGAGAUAGAACCAGAGAGAGGGAGAGAUACAUAUAGAUGCUUGACAACUAAUAUUUCUGCAUUCCAAGCACUCAGCAGUUUCCUUCCACGCUGUUUUUUCCUCAAUGAAAUUGCUCAGCUCUCUACAGCUGUGUAUUCCCCUCUAUCUUUUUUUAUCUCACCUUGCCUGCCUGUGGAGUAUGUAGGCCAAGGUAUGACCCGAGUGGAAUAGCCUUUCACACAGCUGAUAAUUCCACACUUAACAGAGCACUUUACACACAGGAAAAGAUCACCAUGUCAUGUUUACUGUCUGGCAGCUACUCUGCGUCAUCUCCCAUAGCACAGAUAGAAGAGAUUGUUAGACUGAUAUCAACUACUCGUGAGGCCCUCAAUCUUUCAGUCAUAAUUAGGCAGCCAUCAAGCUACGUUUUAAGAUAAUGCUCUUAUGACUGCUUAAUUCAUACUCAUCCCUAAAUUUCAUACCACAGCUGUUGCUUUGUAAACACUUCCCCCUAAUUUACUGGUCUAUAUAAUUUCUUCAAAAUGAUCACUUAUGCAUGACUACCGCACCUGGUCCCUACAAUUCCUUUCACUUAAGCGGUGUUCGAAUGAACUGAGAUGCACUAUAGCCUGCAGCAACAGCAUUCUGUAUUGUUGAAAACACCAUCAGAGCAUAUUGUUUUUCCCAAUGUCUUUUACAAGGCACACCUUUCCUUUUCAAAAAGAAAUGGAGGAAUUAUUUACCAAUUAAUCUCGGUUCACAGAAAGACCUUUCAGUAAGCAUUUAGAUAUUGACAUUCUUGAAAUACAUCAUUCAUAAUAAAAAAAAAGAAUUUAAAAAAUCCAUUUGUUCUGCAAAUGACAGUGUUAAAGAACGUUUAUGACUGCAACUGCAAUCCGUCAUUAGUUUCAUGGAGACACUCAAGGGAAUUCCCACUGUACAAAAUCUGACUGAAGCCAGAUGAACGGAUAUUCUUCAACAACUGUCUUCUCAAGUAUACCCUAUGUGCUGUUUCUCUUCAUUGAUGCUAAAUUGGUGUCCUUUUUCUACUUGCAAUCUUUUCUCUAGCUGAAUGGGCCAGGAGGUUCUUACUUGUCAAAUAAACUAAAUAAACUCAUGGGAUCGGUUUCAUCCUGAAUAAUAAAUUAUUCACUUUUUUUUAAUCCCAGAAAAACAUUCUUGUCUUGAAUACUUUCUCUACCAAUCAUAACGAAUAAACAGGUUCUCAGUAUACAACCAGAGCUUAACAAUUGAACAACACUCACAAUAUUUCACAAACCAAUUCAUUCAUCCAAGUGAAAUACAAUAAAUAGUGAUGGAAAGCCAACAUAAUAAUAAUAAUUAUAAACACACACACACACACACACACACACACAUAUAUAUAUAUAUAUAUAUAGAGAGAGAGAGUUCAUUAAUUUGGUAUUUAUCUACCAACCUGGGUGAAGGUCUUUCUUCAAAUGGAGAGAAUUCCAGACACGGUGUAAUGAUUGGUAUUUCUGCCAUGGGGAUGGAUGUGAAAUGCUAGAAUGAUGGCAGUUUAUGGAACUGGAGCAAUGGGGGGUUUAUGAGCAGGGUGUGAAAGAGAAGGGCAGCAGACGGGACUGAUGGAAAGUAACCCCUUAAGACAGAAAUGACAUGAGAAUCAGGAUUAGCUUGAAUGGAAAAGCUGCUGUUGGCCAAUAGGUUUAUGAAGAGCAAAAGGCCAAAGAGAACGGUGAGAAGGUACUGUACGCCACUUGAGUCCCACUUGCUCAAGGCACAGGAGUGAAGUAAACUCUGGAUGCAAGUCAUGACAUCUGGUGUCCUUUUGUGUUUUUUCUCCUUUAGUAAUAUCAUUCUCUGUGAAGCAGAGAAAUGAAGUCUCAUCUCUGAAGGCAAGAUUUUCACCAACUAACCCAAAACAAAAAGGGCUUUGGUUUUUUUCCUUGUAUAUUUCCUCAGAUGAUUCGAGGCACAGACUUACAGUGAAGAAAACAGAGGUUUACACAAAUGGUGAGAAUAUCAGAAAUCCUAUAGAUUAAUCCUCACCUAUUCUGCUUUGGGUAGACCUAGGAGCACACCUUCCUAUAGAAUUCAGUUCCAACUCUAAUGCAACACACGUGCUACAGAUAAUCAAUCUACUUGCCUAGUCAGUUCAGCUCGAUCGAUCGCAGACAGGAACUGAAUUCAGUAAGAAGAUAGGCUUCCAGGAAUGUGGUCACUGCUCUAUAUGUGAACACUGCACCCAGCCUGACAUUGUAAAACUCUGACAGAGAAGUGGAAGUGGAAUAGCAUGCAGCAUGCUUGUUCUUAAUCUUCCUGGCUGCACACACACACAAUGUUUCCUGCUCAUGCCAUCUCUCACCAGUAAGGACUAGUUGAGGCUCAGCUCAGGUUCCACUCUCCCAUUGCGUAAAAAGCUCACACAUUGCUGUAGUGUCACAGGACAGGGGAAUGACGUGCAACGAUUACGGGGUUGCAGCUCUGCUUUUUGUCGCGGUGUCUGGUUGCCUUCUCUGGAUCACUUCUUUGCUAGCCUUGGAGAGACAUUUGACCCCAAAGGCAGGAAUGCAGGGGACUGACGGCUGUGUUGACGGCAGCACUGACUUCAGCAGUGGCUUGGUGUUACGGCCCAAGCGUUAAGUGUCUUAAAUGUGCAUGUGGCUCUGGAGUUGUUUUGACACUAGACACUUGCUGAGUGGCAGUAAACCAUGUGCGAACCCUCAUACUUGUCCACUGGGUUGCAUGGCUCCCUGGGUGUCCUGAACACAUUGUCCAUCUGUCCUUUUUCCAUGUUCACACUGCUGCUACCUGAGUGAAUACAUGGACCGAAGUUUGGCAAAAAGAAAUGCUAAACAAAAGGCAAGGUGGCAUCACAACUCCCUGUGUUCUCAAUCAAAAGCAUCUUCGUCCUUGUAGUCUCUCCUCACAGGGGACACGGUUCAGUGGUAAAGGGUUCUCCUGCUUUCUUUUUCCUGCGUUUCUUCUUAUGUGUUGUCCAACAGGCAGUAGCCAUUACCAUCAGGACCAGCCCGACAAUCAGCAAGACCACAGAGACCACCUUGGUCUGUGGGAGAUCGUUGUAGGUGUAGGUCACGCUCGUGCCAGCUAUACCAAUUACCAGUGAGAUGAUUCCAAAGGGGAAGAUGCAGCGAUACCAAGAUUUUUCCAUGCCCCCUGUGGCCUGAGAAAGCUUCUCUAAAGAAGACAGGACCUCUGGGACUUUGGCUGCCCCCUCCGGAGUCUGUCCCUCCUGGUUGGUGUUUGAAGAAGGCUGGGGCUGGCAUGCCAGGUGCCCUGUGGUACAGCCCAUUUUUAAAAAAUUAGAAGCCAGUGAGGCUAUUGGAAGCCAGGUGGAAACUUCCUCUACUGUACUCCGAAUCCAGUACUGGCUUGAGAAGAGAUGAAGCCUAGAUCUAAACAGUCCGAUGUGAAACUACGUGCAAAAGGAGCAUGGCCAGCAACAAAACAUCCCUACGUGCAAAAGGAGCAUGGCCAGCAACAAAACAUCCGAAGUCCCUGUGCAGUCCUCCUCUCUUUCUCUGCUGUGCAGUGUUAUAAUAGUCUGCACUGUGAAUCAGCAGCAGCAUGUUGAACACUCUCCCAGCUGGACUGCGUGUGGGUAUAUAAUGUGCCAAAGGCAGGGGGUGGAGUAAAGAAGCAGUGAAGGGGCUGGACAGUGGCAGUGAUUGGCUGAAGCCACAGUGUGACGUUGAAUACAAGAGCAGAGGAAUGGGGAUCAAAAGAAGAGCUGGAAAGAAGAAGAGAGGGUGGGAGUUAACCAUUCAAAUGCUGUCACACUCUUGCUUUUUCAGGGUUUGCUGCAGCCGUCCUUCCUACAGGAAAUGGCAUAACAAAUACAUCCCAAAAGGAACAGAUCAUAUGAGCAUGUAAUGGCAUUAAAGACACAAGAAUAUUGUGUCAAAUCCUACAAUCCCAAACAAAUUUCCAUUUUUAUCUGUGAGCAAACAGAGGGAAUUCCAUGUGAGAGCACAGCUGAGCACUGCAUGCUCCCUCUGUG